GGUGGCUUCUGCCGAUCCUUGUGGCGGUUGUCAUGGUAACCCACCACAGGGCUACGUUACCUUCGGGGGACCAGCAGGAGCACAGGGAGAGGGUUCUUCGGCGGUAGGUCCGCACCGGGGAAGAUUCAACUUCAACACGAUAACAAAGGAGGGAGAUGGGCCAUGGACAUGGAGACACACACACACACACACACACACACACACACACACACACACACACACACACACACACACACACACACACACACACACACACACACACACAGAGGCAGAGAGAGGGAGAGAGCAACAGAAGGAGAGUGAAGGAGUGGAGAGGGAGAGCAGUGGGGAUAGUAAGUGAAGGAGAGAGAGGGAGAGAGAUAGUGACAGACAGACAGAGAGAGAGAGCAAGCAAUGGGGAUAGGGAGUGAAGGAGAGAGAUGAAGAGAGAUAGUGACAGACAGACAGACAGAUGGAGAGCAAUGGGGAUAGGGAGUGAAGAGAAAGUGGGAGAGAGAUAGUGACAGACAGACAGA